rnacentral:rRNA from 1 species
UGGAGGACAAGUCUGGUGCCAGCAGCCGCGGUAAUUCCAGCUCCAAUAGCGUAUAUUAAAGUUGUUGCAGUUAAAAAGCUCGUAGUUGAAUUUCGGGGUUCAUACGUUGGUCGGGCUUUUUGGUCUGUACUAGCGUAAUGGAUUCCUACCUUCUGAAUAACCGGCAUGCCAUUAAUUUGGUGCGCCGGGGAAGCAGGACUGUUACCUUGAAAAAAUUAGAGUGCUUAAAGCAGGCUAUCGCCUGAAUACAUUAGCAUGGAAUAAUGAAAUAGGACGGCAUGGUUCUAUUUUGUUGGUUUCUAGGAUCACCGUAAUGAUUAAUAGGGAUAGUUGGGGGCAUUAGUAUUCAAUUGUCAGAGGUGAAAUUCUUGGAUUUAUUGAAGACUAACUUCUGCGAAAGCAUUUGCCUAGGAUGUUUUCAUUAAUCAAGAACAAAAGUUAGGGGAUCGAAGACGAUCAGAUACCGUCGUAGUCUUAACCAUAAACUAUGCCGACUAGGGAUCGGACGAUGUUAAUUUUUUAAUGACUCGUUCGGCGCCUUACGGGAAAC